rnacentral:rRNA from 1 species
UACGAAGGGAGCUAGCGUUGUUCGGAAUUACUGGGCGUAAAGGGCGCGUAGGCGGUUUUAUAAGUCAGAUGUGAAAGCCCCGGGCUUAACCUGGGAGGUGCAUUUGAAACUGUAAGGCUUGAGAUCGAGAGAGGAAAGUGGAAUUACGAGUGUAGAGGUGAAAUUCGUAGAUAUUCGUAAGAACACCAGUGGCGAAGGCGACUUUCUGGCUCGAUACUGACGCUAAGGCGCGAAAGCGUGGGGAGCAAACAGG